UACAGAGGGUGCGAGCGUUGUCCGGAAUUACUGGGCGUAAAGAGCUCGUAGGUGGUUUGUCGCGUUGUUCGUGAAAACCUGAGGCUUAACCUUGGGCGUGCGGGCGAUACGGGCAGACUGGAGUACUGCAGGGGAGACUGGAAUUCCUGGUGUAGCGGUGGAAUGCGCAGAUAUCAGGAGGAACACCGGUGGCGAAGGCGGUUCUCUGGGCAUGUCCUGACGCUGAGGAGCGAAAGUGUGGGGAGCGAACAGG
rnacentral:rRNA from 1 species